AGAGUUUGAUCAUGGCUCAGGAUGAACGCUAGCNGCAGGCCUAACACAUGCAAGUCGAACGGUAACAGGAAAGAGCUUGCUUUUUUGCUGACGAGUGGCGCACGGGUGCGUAACGCGUAUACAAUCUACCUUUUACAGAGGGAUAGCCCAGAGAAAUUUGGAUUAAUACCUCAUAGUAUUUUUAAUCGGCAUCGGUUAAGAAUUAAAGUUUCGGCGGUAAAAGAUGAGUAUGCGUUCUAUUAGUUAGAUGGUGUGGUAACGGCACACCAUGGCUACGAUAGAUAGGGGCCCUGAGAGGGGGAUCCCCCACACUGGUACUGAGACACGGACCAGACUCCUACGGGAGGCAGCGGUGAGGAAUAUUGGACAAUGGGCGCAAGCCUGAUCCAGCCAUGCCGCGUGCAGGAAGACUGCCCUAUGGGUUGUAAACUGCUUUUAUACAGGAAGAAAUACUGCUACGUGUAGCAGCUUGACGGUACUGUAAGAAUAAGGAUCGGCUAACUCCGUGCCAGCAGCCGCGGUAAUACGGAGGAUCCAAGCGUUAUCCGGAAUCAUUGGGUUUAAAGGGUCCGUAGGUGGAUAAUUAAGUCAGAGGUGAAAUCCUGCAGCUCAACUGUAGAAUUGCCUUUGAUACUGGUUAUCUUGAGUUAUUAUGAAGUAGUUAGAAUAUGUAGUGUAGCGGUGAAAUGCAUAGAUAUUACAUAGAAUACCAAUUGCGAAGGCAGAUUACUAAUAAUAUACUGACACUGAUGGACGAAAGCGUGGGGAGCGAACAGGAUUAGAUACCCUGGUAGUCCACGCCGUAAACGAUGGUCACUAGCUGUUCGAACUUCGGUUUGAGUGGCUAAGCGAAAGUGAUAAGUGACCCACCUGGGGAGUACGUUCGCAAGAAUGAAACUCAAAUGAAUUGACGG
rnacentral:rRNA from 1 species